GAUAUUUCACUAUCAACAAAGAUAGAGUACAGAUGAAUACAACAAAACUUCACAAGAAAGUUAUCUCUCAAACUCACUCUAAACUUCUAUCUCAAGAAAACACUAAAAACUAGACAAAAAGUGAUUUCUGAAGUUGUAGGAGAAGUGGA